CCUACGGGAGGCAGCAGUAAGGAAUAUUGGUCAAUGGACGCAAGUCUGAACCAGCCAUGCCGCGUGAAGGAUGAAGGCCCUCUGGGUUGUAAACUUCUUUUAUAGGGGAAGAAACCCAUCUUUUCUAAGGUGGUUGACGGUACCCUAGGAAUAAGCACCGGCUAACUCCGUGCCAGCAGCCGCGGUAAUACGGAGGGUGCAAGCGUUAUCCGGAUUCACUGGGUUUAAAGGGUGCGUAGGUGGGUCUGUAAGUCAGUGGUGAAAUCUCCGAGCUUAACUCGGAAACUGCCAUUGAUACUAUAGGUCUUGAAUUUUCUGGAGGUUAGCGGAAUAUGUCAUGUAGCGGUGAAAUGCUUAGAUAUGACAUAGAACACCGAUUGCGAAGGCAGCUGACUACGGGAAUAUUGACACUGAGGCACGAAAGCGUGGGGAUCAAACAGGAUUAGAUACCCUGGUAGUCCACGCCCUAAACGAUGGAUACUCGACAUUUGUGAUACACAAUAAGUGUCUGAGCGAAAGCAUUAAGUAUCCCACCUGGGAAGUACGACCGCAAGGUUGAAACUUCAAAUAGAUUGNGNGNGNGNGNGCGAGCGACACGAGGAGGAGG
rnacentral:rRNA from 1 species